UAGUCCACGCCGUAAACGAUGUCUACUUGGAGGUUGUGGCCUUGAGCCGUGGCUUUCGGAGCUAACGCGUUAAGUAGACCGCCUGGGGAGUACGGUCGCAAGAUUAAAACUCAAAUGAAUUGACGGGGGCCCGCACAAGCGGUGGAGCAUGUGGUUUAAUUCGAUGCAACGCGAAGAACCUUACCUACUCUUGACAUCCAGAGAAUCCAGCGGAGACGCAGGAGUGCCUUCGGGAGCUCUGAGACAGGUGUUGCAUGGCUGUCGUCAGCUCGUGUUGUGAAAUGUUGGGUUAAGUCCCGCAACGAGCGCAACCCUUAUCCUUGUUUGCCAGCGAGUCAUGUCGGGAACUCCAGGGAGACUGCCGGUGAUAAACCGGAGGAAGGUGGGGACGACGUCAAGUCCUCAUGGCCCUUACGGGUAGGGCUACACACGUACUACAAUGGCAGAAACAACCGAAGCGAUAUUGCGAGAUGGAGCUAAACGGUAAAACACUGUCUCAGUCCGGA
rnacentral:rRNA from 1 species